rnacentral:rRNA from 1 species
AUUGAACGCUGGCGGCAGGCCUAACACAUGCAAGUCGAGCGAGCGGCGGACGGGUGAGUCAUGUGUGGGUACCUGCCUGUUGGAGGGGGAUAACUACUGGAAACGGUAACUACUACUGCAUACCAUCAGAUCUGCCCCGAUGGGGUUAGCUGGUGGGUGGGGUAACGGCCCACCCAGGCGACGAUACCUAGCGGGUCUGAGAGGAUGACCAGCCACACUGGAACUGAGACACGGUCCAGACUCCUACGGGAGGCAGCAGUGGGGAAUAUUGCACAAUGGGCGCAAGCCUGAUGCAGCCAUGCCGCGUGUGUGAAGAAGGCCUUCGGGUUGUAAAGCACUUUCAGCGGGGAGGCGUUACCCGCAGAAGAAGCACCGGCUAACUCCGUGCCAGCAGCCGCGGUAAUUC